rnacentral:lncRNA from 1 species
AGAAAUCAAAAUCUACACAUUAAUAUAAAUCUAAAACACGUAGAAACCGACUUGUACAGAUUUACUAUAAAUCUAAAACAUGUAGAAAUCAAAAUCUAAACAUUACUAUAAUUCUAAAAAACUGUAGAAACUGAUUUCUACAUAUUAGUUGUAUUCUACGGAUAAGAAAUCAGUUCCUAAAAAUAUGGAAACAAAAUAUUUGGGAAUAUUUACUUUUAUAUUUUGAAAAAAAAAAAUCGAUUUAAAAA